AAUGAGCCUGCGAGUUGUGGUGUCUGGCAAGGUUAAGCAAACGCGAAGCCGUAGCGAAAGCGAGUCUGAAUAGGGCGCUUAGUCAGAUGCUGCAGACCCGAAACGAAGUGAUCUAUCCAUGAGCAAGUUGAAGCUAGUGUAAGAACUAGUGGAGGACUGAACCCAUAGGCGUUGAAAAGCCCCGGGAUGACUUGUGGAUAGGGGUGAAAGGCCAAUCAAACUUCGUGAUAGCUGGUUCUCUCCGAAAUAUAUUUAGGUAUAGCGUUGUGUCGUAAUAUAAGGGGGUAGAGCACUGAAUGGGCUAGGGCAUACACCAAUGUACCAAACCCUAUCAAACUCCGAAUACCUUAUAUGUAAUCACAGCAGUCAGGCGGCGAGUGAUAAAAUCCGUCGUCAAGAGGGAAACAACCCAGACUACCAGCUAAGGUCCCUAAAUCUUACUUAAGUGGAAAACGAUGUGAAGUUACUUAAACAACCAGGAGGUUGGCUUAGAAGCAGCCAUCCUUUAAAGAAAGCGUAAUAGCUCACUGGUCUAGUGAUUUUGCGCGGAAAAUAUAACGGGGCUAAAGUAAGUACCGAAGCUGUAGACUUGCGCACAACUUAGAUUAUUUAAGUUUAGAAUAUGAGAAACUAAGUUAUAUGUUUAGUUAUAUUUUUACUGAUUUUUAUAGAGUAAAGAUAGAAAUAAAACUUAGUAAAAUCAGUAAAAAUAUUCUUAGACUAAAGUUAAGUAGUUUAAGUUGUGUGCAAGUGGUAGGAGAGCGUUCUAUUUGCGCCGAAGGUAUACCGGUAAGGAGUGCUGGAGCGAAUAGAAGUGAGCAUGCAGGCAUGAGUAGCGAUAAUUAAUGUGAGAAUCAUUAACGCCGUAAACCCAAGGUUUCCUACGCGAUGCUCGUCAUCGUAGGGUUAGUCGGGUCCUAAGUCGAGUCCGAAAGGGGUAGACGAUGGCAAAUUGGUUAAUAUUCCAAUACCAACAUUAGUGUGCGAUGGAAGGACGCUUAGGGCUAAGGGGGCUAGCGGAUGGAAGUGCUAGUCUAAGGUCGUAGGAGGUUAUACAGGCAAAUCCGUAUAACAAUACUCCGAGAACUGAAAGGCUUUUUGAAGUCUUCGGAUGGAUAGAAGAACCCCUGAUGCCGUCGAGCCAAGAAAAGUUUCUAAGUUUAGCUAAUGUUGCCCGUACCGUAAACCGACACAGGUGGGUGGGAUGAGUAUUCUAAGGCGCGUGGAAGAACUCUCUUUAAGGAACUCUGCAAAAUAGCACCGUAUCUUCGGUAUAAGGUGUGGUUCGCUUCGUAUUAGGAUUUACUCCGAAAGCGAAGAAACUUACAACAAAGAGUCCCUCCCGACUGUUUACCAAAAACACAGCACUCUGCUAACUCGUAAGAGGAUGUAUAGGGUGUGACGCCUGCCCGGUGCUCGAAGGUUAAUUGAUGGGGUUAGCAUUAGCGAAGCUCUUGAUCGAAGCCCGAGUAAACGGCGGCCGUAACUAUAACGGUCCUAAGGUAGCGAAAUUCCUUGUCGGUUAAAUACCGACCUGCAUGAAUGGCGUAACGAGAUGGGAGCUGUCUCAAAGAGGGAUCCAGUGAAAUUGUAGUGGAGGUGAAAAUUCCUCCUACCCGCGGCAAGACGGAAAGACCCCGUGGACCUUUACUACAGCUUGACACUGCUAUUUGGAUAAGAAUGUGCAGGAUAGGUGGGAGGCUUUGAGUAUAUGACGCCAGUUGUAUAUGAGCCAUUGUUGAGAUACCACUCUUUCUUAUUUGGGUAGCUAACCAGCUUGAGUUAUCCUCAAGUGGGACAAUGUCUGGUGGGUAGUUUGACUGGGGCGGUCGCCUCCCAAAUAAUAACGGAGGCUUACAAAGGUUGGCUCAGAACGGUUGGAAAUCGUUCGUAGAGUAUAAAGGUAUAAGCCAGCUUAACUGCAAGACAUACAAGUCAAGCAGAGACGAAAGUCGGUCUUAGUGAUCCGGUGGUUCUGUGUGGAAGGGCCAUCGCUCAAAGGAUAAAAGGUACCCCGGGGAUAACAGGCUGAUCUCCCCCAAGAGCUCACAUCGACGGGGAGGUUUGGCACCUCGAUGUCGGCUCAUCGCAUCCUGGGGCUGGAGCAGGUCCCAAGGGUAUGGCUGUUCGCCAUUUAAAGCGGUACGCGAGCUGGGUUCAGAACGUCGUGAGACAGUUCGGUCCCUAUCUGCCGUGGGCGUAAGAAGAUUGAAGAGAUUUGACCCUAGUACGAGAGGACCGGGUUGAACAAACCACUGGUGUAGCUGUUGUUCUGCCAAGAGCAUCGCAGCGUAGCUAAGUUUGGAAAGGAUAAACGCUGAAAGCAUCUAAGCGUGAAGCCAACUCUAAGAUGAAUCUUCUCUAAGCUCUCUAGAAGACUACUAGUUUGAUAGGCUGGGUGUGUAAUGGAUGAAAGUCCUUUAGCUGACCAGUACUAAUAGAGCGUUUGGCUUAUCUUUAAUAAAGCAU
rnacentral:rRNA from 1 species